GAUAGGCUCAGCCGCCCUGGUGUUCUGACUCUUGUUCCACUCACUGCAUGAAAUGAAGCUGGCGGAAUAUUGCUACAAAAGAAUGAUCGUGGCAGGAGGCGGGGUAGAGCAAUGUCAGGUCACGGUGCGUCUUGCACCGAAAUAUUAAGGCAGUUGUAAUGAUCUUUGUCUCACAGAAAUGAACAGAGUGAUGAAGGAGGCUCAGAGAAAGGCAGCUGAGAAGAGCAACAAGGUAGAAAGGCUGACUUAAAGUAGAGAAAUAAAAAUUCAUCCAGCACCUCCCAAGGUCGGACAUUGGUCAAGAAACGCCCAAAUAGUUCAGGUCGUUUAACUUUGCUCAAAUUCCUCAAGGCAGGUAUCACGACUCCUCCUGCUUUAGAGGUGAGAAUGCCAAGGCUCCCGAGGGCUGAGUAAGGAGCCCUGGUUUGUUUGAGUGCAGGUAACACAACAGGUGUUAAAGCCCAAUCUUCAGGGUCUUAAUCCAACAGAAGUUAACUUUCGCUUAGAAAAAGUUCAGCACCAGAGUUCCUGGUGGAUAAGCGACUUCCCACAAGGUCAUUCCUGGGCCUUCUCUGUGUCUCCCCACCCUGUCCCCCUCUGAGGGUUUCAAGUCCUCGGAAGGUUCUAGAUCCACCCUGCAUGGAGCGCAGGGCCCCACUGCUUGUUUCCAUUGCUGAGCCCAACAGGAAAGGCUGGGAUCGGAGGUCGCCUUGCACCCAGGAUGGAAGGGAAGUGCGUUUGGUGAACACAUAGUGCCCAGGCCACCUACCCAAAGCCGCACAGCUCCAGCAGCAGCCUACAGUCCGACCCGGGCCAAGAAGCGAAGUCCAACCUCAUGCUUUCUCUGACUUGAGUUUUCUGAACCUCAGAGUCCUCUCCUAUAGAAUGGAGAACACGUCUCCUUCACAGGAUUACUAGGAGAAUGAGCAGAGAAAAUGCCUGUGGAGGAGACUUCUGGACACUUAGUUAUGGACAGGGCACCAGGAGAAAGGGUGGUGCUGGAGUCUCUCCUUAGCUCUCAGAGAUCAUCACAAAGAGGGUGCCUCCUGCUUCCGGCCCAUGGCAGAGUGUGUCCGAGAGGCCGCCUCUCACCUCCCUCCCUGGCCUCGCACACGCAGUCGGGACUGGAUUUCUGAUGGCAAUUCAGUGACGCACAAUCGAAAACCAGCAGGGCGGAACAGGAGAUGGGAGCAAACUAAGCUACCGUUUCACUAACUUCACAGAGGAGCCUGACACAGAAAAAUGUAUACAUUGUUUGCCUUAAAGUGAACAAUAGGGAAUAGCUAUCGUAUCUUCAAAGCAGCUUUCCAAGAUCAAAUCCGUCGCAUCCGGAAUGCGUUUCUUUGACCUUGGAACCUCCAGGAGUGGCCAGGCUCCCCCACAGAUCACACGCAGCGUUGCCUAGAAGCCGGUAGCUCUCCCGUAGGACGCUGGGAAGCAGCCAGCUGUUCAUGUGGGAGUGUCGGCGUGCGUUCCUUUGUCAACGUCCUGCAAGAAAGAAAAGGCAAGAACGUCAGCGAUGGCUCCACUGACUGAUUAAGGCAAAGGAAGUCGCCACUAUGCCCUGGAUCUGUUCCUGAAGGAUUACAGCAUGAAGAAAAAUAAUGUGGGUAGCCGGGCUUCAUCUUAGCAACACGAGCACCUCAUUUUGGUUUUCAGUUGGUCUUUUAAUGAACAAAUGUGUUGGAAUGUUUGGGUCUCUGGUUUUUAUGCCGAUUUCUACCAUCCUGCCCUGGGGAUGAGGUGGAGCUGGGAUUAACAAAAAAUUCCUAUUCUCCAGCCAGGCGCAGUGGCUCACGCCUAUAAUCCCAGCACUUUGGGAGGCCAAGGCGGGUGGAUCACCUGAGGUCGGGAGUUUGAGACCAGCCUGGCCAACACGGUGAAACCGAUCCCUACUAAAAAUACAACAAAAAGUUAGCGGGGUGUAGUGGCAGGUGCCUGUAAUUUCAGCUACUUUGGAGCUGAGGCAAGAGAAUCACUUGAACCCGGGAGGGGGAGGUUGCAGUGAGCCGAGACCACGCCAUUGCACUGGUCAAUAAGAACGAAACUCUGUCUCAAAAAAAAAAAAAAUCCUAUUCUCCAUGGGACCCAAAUCCCUUUUUACCUCCACCUCCUGGAUAUGCAGCAAUUAAGUGAUUCACGGAGGUGCAGUGAGGCGAAGGUUCCAUGUAGCCACAGGUUGGAAGAAACAAGUACUGUUGGCAUCAACUUUGUCAGCUUGAAGCAGGCCUUCUAGAACCCAUAAUGCCAGGACAAGCUUUCUAGAUGGCAGAAGAGCCUAGCCUAUUUGGUGUGAAUGAAAGACACUCAGGUGAUACCUUCUAUCUCUUCAAGCCCCAGAAUAACAUACGUGUGACAGACCAGGAUUCAGCCCACAGCCUGGAGCCAAGACACCAUCCGACCCAGAUGAACCUGCGUGGAUCACCUGAGCCACUAGUGACCCAGAGAUCCUGAGAGUGAAAAACAUGCAUGGUCCUAUACACCACUGAGUUUUGGGAUGACUUGUUACUUAGCACUAUUAUGACAAUUGCUGACUAAUAUACCAGGCUCCUGGAAGAUUUGUUGUGAGGUUCUCAUAAAAUGAUGAAUGUGAAAUUGCAUUGUAAGCUGCUUUUAAAAAAGGUACUUAGCUGGAGUGAAAGCUCUACAAAGGCAGAAAUUGUUUUGCUACUGUAACUAGAUGAGUUCCUGGAAUAAAAUAGUAGCUCAAUAAAUACCAUAUUAAUUGAAUUGGAUGGAUGGAUGGAUAUAUAUAUAUAUAUAUAUAUAUAUUUUAACCUUGGAACUUCUAUCAUAGGCAUUUUUCCUUGGGUUGAAACUACUAAUUUCUCUUAAGUACAGAUACCCCCCGAGAAAGCUAAAAUGCUGUAUUGUUUAUCACAAUACUUUUGGUUCAUGAUAAUUACUGCCAGAUACCUGGAGUAAUUAUAGAAAUUGUAGAGAACAAGAGGUGAGGGGUGGGAGAGCUAAGAAAUGGAUUUUCCAGUUUUGCCCAUGGCUACUUUGUGCAGCACCUCUGACAAAAGCUUUGGGAGUUUUCCAGAAACUAGCAUUCUGCGCCCUCCCCAAGCACUUAUUUCUUCCUUCCCCAGGGUGCCGUGUUUGCAUUUCUGCAGCACAACAUGGAGGGUAAAGGGAUUGCAGAGUGAGUCUCCACUUCCACUCGUCUCUGUUGUUGGAGAGGAUUAAAAGAGCAGGAGAGGGGCUGCCUGUGUCCUGGGAAAUUUUCAGGACAGAAGAAGAGGCUGGCCCUGUGCAGUAGGUGCAGAGCAGGCACCCGGCCUCCAGGGCCACCGAUGACUCCAGGGCCUGGCAGGAGCCAGGAUGUGGCUCCUCGUGGAGGGCUAUGCCAGCCGUGUGUCCGACCCAGAGCACAGAACCAUUGCCCCAGCAGGGCUUUUCAGUGGAACCGAGUGUCCCCACACGAGCUUUGUCUCCGGAUGCACACGAGGAGAUUCUGCAGCACAGUGGAUCCGAUUAAGCCAUUACAGCUUUCCAGAGGGAAAAGAAAAUUUAGGACGUGUAGAAACUAAGUCUUUGCCCACAAUCAAGUUUCCAUUCAAAUUAUGAAAAGGAAGUGAUUGAAUGAGAAUGAGAUGACCUUCCCCUUCCCCCACGGAUCUUCCUCCCUCUGGUUCCCUCUGCUGCUGACACGAGCACUGCACCCAGGCGACGGCCCCGGGCGCCCAGGCUGACUCCCGCACUCGGGCGCUGAGCUCAUGGCCGGUUCUGAAGAACUCUGGUUCUGCUCAUGCCCCACAUCAAAACGGCCAAGUCUUCAGAUUUGGGAUUUCCCAAGCCAAAAGCAUUUUCAUAGAAUUGCAUUUCAAUAUUUACAUUAUCUUUAAAGAAAGUCCAGCUAAAAAUAAAAAAUAAGUAAAAAUGUUAAAAAUAAAACAACCCCAGAGAGAAGUGGGGUCUACCUGAAUGCAAUGCAAGAUGAAGUGGACAUCUGGACGCCCCUCCUCCAGGGCUUCGCAUGCUCCCCGGGGCUCAGGGGCUCGGGUGGGGCAGCUCCUCAUGGCGUGGGGUAGGGAGGGUGACCCCAGGUUCUUAGUCAGGGCAGGUGCAGGCCUGUGAGACACCAGGCGAAGGAGGCAGAGCAGGCCGUCCUGUGUGGAGUGGCUUAUUCUAAUUCAAACUCCCCUGUUUUCUUCCUCUUCCUUUUGGGGGAACUCAUCCCUCUGAGACCUCAGACAGACAUGCACCAGGCUAUGGGUGGGGGUAAUGCAGGGCAGGCAGGGUGGUGCAGGAGAAGCAUUCUGCUCUUUUCUGCAGUAAGGUAAAUAUCGUGGCCGUCAUCUGUUCCACCUCCUUCCUGCUGUCUGGCUUCGUUAGUGCAGAUCAAGAGCAUAGGUCAGUGCCCUGGAGGGUGUUCAGGAUGACCGUAGCAGAGGUCUCCGUGCCACAAAUGGAACCCAGCCUUGCUAACUUCUCCAGGCUCGGUGCCCAGCACCCCCAGGGCACACAGAAACCACUGUGGUGUGAGUGGUGCUGGAGCAGCAGACACAGGCGCGUUGUUGUCGGGAGGUGGGGGAGCCCCCGCCGGCUUGCGUGUUUUCUUCCUUAGCAACUGCCCCUCAGAAGCAAUACAGGACUUACCCUAAUGUCACCUCUGCUGAGUCCACGCCGGGGAAUGGCUGAGAAACAACUUCAUGCCAGAAUCCUGUCAAUCUAAGUCUCUACAAAAUUCUAGGAACCAAGAAAUUAUAAACUGAAAGCUCUUAAUGAGAAGCUCUCUGUGGGCAAUGAUCUGGGCUCUGCAGGGGGCUCCAGCAGCUGCCAGAGGGAAAUAAACGUGGAAAAGAACAACCUGAGGCUGCUCGGCUGAAGGCCGGAGCAUGGGGACUGCCCUAACCCUCACUCACGGUGCAGGGAGCUUCCCAGGAAGUCUCAGCUCACCUGCAGCCUUCGAACCAGGAGAGGCUCCGUGAAAGAGCAGGAUGCUCGAGGUCUGGCCUCAACCCUGUCAUCAUUGUCAAUCCCUGCGGCUCCUCCUUCCAGGGAGGCUGGGCAGAAGAGCAACAGGAGCAGGUGCUCAGGGGCAACACAGAAGACAGGAGCAGGUGCUCAGGGACAACAAGUACUCAGGGGACAGAAGGUGCCAGGAGGUAGUAGGUGUUCAGGGGGCAGCAGGUGCUCAGGGAGCAGCAGGUGCUCAAAGGCAGUACAGCAGACAGGAGCAGGUCAUUUCUAAAUAAGUUUAAAAACUGAAACAUGAAUUACUAAGCAUGAGUUUAAAGUUUAUAUCCUUUGACAUCGUGUUUUUACAUAGUAUAGAGAAGCUAAAUGUAUUUGGUUCUAUUAAUAAACAUGAAAAUUGUCCGGGUGCAGUGGCUCACACCUGUAAUCCCAGCACUUUGAGAGGUUGAGGAGGGCAGAUAGCUUGAGCCCAGGAGUUUGAGACCAUCCCAGGCAAUGUAGUGAAACUUUGUCUCUACAAAAAAAUACAAAAAUUAGCCAGGCGUGGUGGCUCCAGUUUUGACUGCAAGGAUGGACCCCUGAAAACGCCCAAGGCUUCAGAGGAUGACCGCUAGAGCCAGCAGUUUCUCUUUCCAUAAUCAAUCAUGUUAUUUGAUAGUUAUGAGAGUUGAUUCAAGAUUGAGAGAUGGAAUAGGCUGUUAUUACUCAGGCUCAUUUCCUAAAGUAAAUCAUAAUUUAUAGAUGUGGGACACAUAGGCUUUGAGAUUCCGAUACAAUUAGUGCAAACAUUUAGAAGAUAAAUUGGCCUCCAUUCCAAGGUAACCAAAUGGAUCCCUUUUUUAAGAAUUGAGAAUACUAUAAAACAAAGAUGCAAAAAUACCCAAAAUUGAUCAAUAAGGAUCACGCAGAGAUUUAUUUUUUGAAGACAAUACUAACAUUUCAAAUGUAGGAAAUACUAUUUUAUGCUUUAAACAGGGACAUUUAGUCUCGAGUUCUAGUUUUAAUGCCCUAACCUGGUUUAUCCAUAAAGUGGAGAGAGGCUAGUGCAUAAAUUCAUGUGGUACAGCCAAUCUUAUUCAUUUUUUCUCAAGGGACAGUUAUAACCAGAAUGAACAAAGCCUGGAAUUCAUUAACAGAGCUUACAGGGAAGGUGAGUGGUUUCGAAGCAUUUUUACUAAUCCUUUGAUAAGUCACCCUGAUGUGAGAGGUGGAUUUAGCGACUUGCUUAUGCCAAGUAGCAUAUGGCAAAAGUAAUGAUAUUUCACUACUGCACGUAUCUGCAAAGGGAGCACUCACUCUGGGGCAAGCCAGGCCUGUGUCAUGAAGACACUCGAGCAGCCCUGUGGAGAGGCCCAGGCGUAAGAAACAGACGCCUCUUACCAACAGUCAGUGAGGAACUGAGGUCUCCUGCCAUGAGCCAUGUGAGUGCGCGAUCUUGGAGGUGGGUUCUCUAGCCCCUGUCAGGCAGUCAGAUGAUGCAGCCCCAGUCACAUGCAAUCAAGUCUAGGUUCUUGAUAUUCUAGUUACUUAAAGAUUGUCAAGCAAGAAGUCAUUUCUUCCCCGGCUAUGCUAUUCAAAGGUUCAUGAAUCUUUUGGAUUUUGUAUAUUUUAGAAAUUCCAGAAUUUAUCAGUAGGAACCAGAAAUAGAAUAUCCAGCAGGAACGGCAUGAUGUAUAAAAAAAUAUAGUCCUUUUUGUACAUUCCCCUCUUCCAUUAUUCUAACUGUAUCUACCUUCAAAUCACACCUAAGAUUUCAGGGAUAGACCCUUUACCUCGAAGAUAAUGAAACCCAUCAGAUUAUAAUUUUUUUUUUGUUAUGGACAAUUCCCUUCCCUAAUAUUUCUCAAACUGAAGGUUGUAAUCUACUUCAAAGAGUCGUCCAAGGAAGGCAUGGUGAUCGACGAGUUUCAAAUAACUAUCAAAUACAUUUAUUUAUCCUAAAAACGUUGACAGUAAUGAUAGAAAUACUCAUUUUUAAAAUUCUUGAAUUCUGAUACAUAGUUCUAUUUUAAAGUCCUGAAAUACCAGUAUUUUUUUAUUGGUAUACUACAAUUAUACCACUAUUUUUGGAAACUAAGGUCUGAAUUAUUAACUUCUUUUUUUUGAGAUGAGGUGUCAUCUGUUGUUGUUCAGGCUGGAGUGCAGUGGUGCAAUCACGGCUCCCUGCAGCCUCAGAUCCCUGGGCUCAAAGAAAUCCUGUGAGCAUGGCACUGUACCCAGCUGAUUUUUUAAUGGUUUGUAGAGACAGGGCUUUGCUUUGUUGCCCAGGCUGGUCUCAAGCUCCUAACAUCAAGCAAUCCUCCUACCUUGGCCUCCCAAACUGCUAGGAUUACAGGUGUGAGUCACCAUGCCCAGCCUUUAUUUAUCUCUUAAAAUGAAAGUCAUUGACUAAACUAUUCAAUUUUGUGCCAAAAAAAAGAUGAACUAAUGUGCAGUCUUCAAAACUGAUAGGAUUAUUCUGGAAAAUUUUGUACAUACACACACAAAAAAAGAAGCAUUGAUGACUUUUGUUAAAAACACCAAAUAAUAUGUCAUUUUAAAUGUUUAUGAACGAUUAAUUUCUUAUUUCAAUAUAAUGCUUAGUUGAUUAUUUGUAAUAAAAGUUUAUUUUUGUUUAUGUGCUAAUCCAUUAGGAUGUGAUAUAGUUUGGAUAUUUGUCCCUACCCACAUCUCAUGCUGAGUUGUAAUCCCCAAUGCCAGAGGUGGGGCCUGGUGGGAGAUGUUUGGGUUCUGGGGGUGGGUCCCUCAUGGCUUGAUGCUGUCUUCUUGAGAGUGAGUUCUCAUGAGAUCUGGUUAUUUAAAAGUGGGUGGCACCUCCCUGCCCACUGUCUCUCACUUGUUCCUGCUCCUGCUCCUGCCAUGUGAUGUGCCUGCUCCCCCUUUGCCUUCCGCCAUGAUUGAAGCUUCCUGAGGCCUCCCAGAAGUAGAAGCCGCCAUGCUUCCUGUAUAGCCUGUAGAACCACAAGCCAAUUAAACUUUUUUUAAAUGAAUUACCCAGUCUCAGCUAUUUCUUUAUAGUAAUGCAAGAAUGGCAUAAUACAGGAUGAUAAUAUGUUGAAGGUUUAUAGAUUCAAAAAAUGUAUUUUAGUUAAUUUGAAAAAUAAUGUAAGAAACACAUGAUAAAUAUUCAAUUACGUUUGUGAAAUACACUAAAUCCCUACCUGCUUAUUUCCUAGCUGGGCUGCUAUAACACAGUGCCACUCACUGGGUGGCUUUUACUGCUCACAGUUCUGGAGACGUGGACAUUUACAAUGAAGACUGAUUAGGGCCAGUUUCCUGAUUCACAGAUGGGGCCUCUCGCUGUGUCCUCACAUGGCAGAGGGACAAACAGGCUCCCUCUCUCUCUUUUAUAUGGGCACUGAUCCCAUACAUGAGAGGUCCACUCUCAGGACCAAAUCACCCCCUUGAGACCCCACCUCUCAACACUAUCACCAUAAGGAUUAGCCUUCAGCAUCUGAAUGUGUGGGGAGGAAGCACAAACAUUUAGAUCACAGCGCCCUGUCCCUGGUUUCCCAAAGUUCACAUCUUCCUCACGUGACAAGUACAUUCAUUCCAUCCCAACAGCCCUACAAGUCUUAACUCGUUCCAGCAUCAACUCAAAAGUGUGAAGUCCAGAGUCUCAUUUAAACAUCGUCUAAAUCAAAUACGUGUGUGAUUUAAGGUAAAAUUCAUUGUGAGACAAACUGCUUUCCAGCUGUGAGCCUGUAAAAUCAAACAUGUUAUGUGUUUCCAAAUUCAAUGGUAGGUGUUAUGGUUUGGACUUGUGUCCCCACCCAAAUCUCAUUCAAUUAUAAUCCCCGGUGUUGGAGGUGAGGCCUGGUGGGAAGUGAUUGGAUCAUGGGCCGGAGUUCUUAAGAAUGGUUUGGUACCAUCUCCCUUGGUACUGCAUAGUGCGUGAGUUCUCAUAAAAUCCAGUUGUUUAAAAGUGUAUAGCACUUGUCCUUCUCUCUCCCUCCUGCUCCAGCCAUGUAAGAUGCCUGCUUCCCCUUUGCUUUUCACCAUGAUUGUAAGUUUCCUGAGGCCUCCCCAGAAGCUGAGCAGAUGCCAGCAUCAUGCUUCCUAUACAACCAAUGGAACUAUGAG
rnacentral:lncRNA from 1 species